rnacentral:lncRNA from 1 species
AGGACAGAGAGAUCCUUGAUGUUGUAGCUUUGAUCUAGAAAGGCUUUCUCUUAUGCGCGGACGUUAGUCAAGUGUAAAUUUUACAUUUCCCAAUUGGCCAGGUUUAUAUUGACAUCUUCACUUUUCUUAAAAAUGAUGAUAUUUUUAUUUGUUAAGAUUUUUUUCUAUGCAGAUCCUUGAUGUUGUAGUUUUGAUCUAGAAAAGCUUUCUCUUAUGCGCGGACAUUAGUGAAGUGUAUAUUUUACAUUUCCCAAUUGGCCAGGUUUAUAUUGGCAUCUUCACUUUUCUUAAAAAUGAUGAUAUUUUUAUUUGUUAAGAUUUUUUUUCUAUGCUGAGUUUCAAAUAAUCAUUUGAAUCAUGCAACAUAUGU